rnacentral:rRNA from 1 species
UGAGGAAUAUUGGUCAAUGGACGAGAGUCUGAACCAGCCAAGUAGCGUGCAGGACGACGGCCCUAUGGGUUGUAAACUGCUUUUGUACGGGGAUAAAGUGAGCCACGUGUGGUUUAUUGCAGGUACCGUACGAAUAAGGACCGGCUAAUUCCGUGCCAGCAGCCGCGGUAAUACGGAAGGUCCGGGCGUUAUCCGGAUUCAUUGGGUUUAAAGGGAGCGUAGGCCGCCCCUUAAGCGUGUUGUGAAAUGCCGCGGCUCAACCGUGGCACUGCAGCGCGAACUGGGGGGCUUGAGUGCGCGCAGCGAAGGCGGAAUUCGUGGUGUAGCGGUGAAAUGCUUAGAUAUCG